rnacentral:lncRNA from 1 species
AUGUUCUGCAGACGGGCAUGGCAGAGAGUCGGGCCGCUGGCACGGAGGUCUUUCAAGCCGACACACAGAUACGCUCCGGUGCGACACAUGGCCUUCGGUGUUCCCGGAGGCUCCACCAACAUGACGUACUUUGUUUUGUGUGGCGGCGGCCUCACUGCGGCAGUUGUUUAUGCAUACAAGACGGUCAACGAUGAUACCGAGCGUUACGAGGAAAGACUCGCCAACAUGGGCUCCAUGGCGAAGGCUUCUUCAGCAAAGGCAGCACCAGAGGCAGCUCCACCUGCAGUUGAGCCUGCACCAGUGGAGGAGGAAGCCCCUGCUGCUGAGGUCAUUGCUGAGUCGGCCACUGCUGCUGCUGCAGAACCUGUAGGAGAGACAGCUGCUGAACCUGUUGUGGAAGCUGCAUCUGAAGAAGCAGAAGCUGCCGCCGUCUCUGAGGCGGUCGUUCCAGAGGCAGCAGCUGAGACGGCAGCUGAGACGGCAGCUGAGUCAGCAGAGACGGAGGACGCCGCUCCACCUGUGGAGGCAGAGGUGUUUGCUGAAGCGGCUCUGGAGGCCCCAGCAGAGGAACCAGUGGCAGAAAACGCUGAGUCUGCACCAGAGCUGCUCACAGAUGUUAAGCUCUUGACCGGCUCAACAGCUGAAAUUGCUGCUGCUUCUGUUGGUGAGAAGAAUCCGAUGGAGACUGUCCAACAAACUGAAGGUGAAGGAAAGGGACACAAGGUGCUCGAAACAGAAGCUUUGGAAGAAGCCUCAGAGGCAGUGGCCAAGGAAGCAUCUGAAGAGGGAGCAGUUGUAGAAGGUGAGGAGGAGGUGAAGUCUGGAGAAGGUGAGAAAAGUGCAGAAGAUGCUCAGACUCCAGCUGCUGAAGAAGUGAUAGCGGAGGUGACAUCUGCUCUGGCUGCAGCUGUGGACAAGGAGGCAGCGGCUGGAUCUCAUCCUGAGGAAACAACAUCUCCAAUGCCCACUGUGGACGAGGCAGAGGCUGAAGUUCAACCUGCUCCUGAGGAGGCCAUCGCUGCUGAAGAUGCUGCUGAAGAUGAGGCUGUCUCCUCUGAAGAUGCUGCUCCUCCCGAGGAGGCCACAGUCACCGGUGAAGGUGCCCCACUGGAUGAGAUUUCAUCAGCUGACCAGGCAGCAGCUGAAACAUCUGCAGAGGAGACAGCUGAAGCUGCUGUCAGCACAACUCAGCUGGCAGCAGCCUCCGUUGGAGCGGACCUAGAGGUUCUUUCAGUUGCAGAAACAGAGCCUACAUCAGGAUCUCCUGUGCAUGAGGAGAAACCCUGCCACUCCUGCCACUCUGCUCCCUCAGCAGGAGAGGAGGUGGCGCCACCUGCUGCUGUAGGAGAGGAGCUGAUCGCCGAUGGAGCUGUGGAUACUUCACAAGAAGCCAAGGACGCAGCCUCAGCACAAACCAUGGAGGCGACGGUGGUGGUGAUAGCCCAGUCGUGA